CUUCUCUUGAUUAUGAAAUAAAGCUAUUCUGCAGUUCUGACAUCAUGCAAUGUGGUCUGUGCAGUCACAUUAUGAGGUGCCUGCCCUGUCACAAACCAGAAGUCAUCAGGGAGUCUGGAGCUUGUUGUGGAACUAGUUAGUUAUGGAAGUGUGGUAAAGCAAGAGGAAGUCAUACUGUAUGUAAAGAUAUAAUGAAGUCAAAUAACAGAUGAAAAAAAAAUUGGUGUGAAAGGAGCUGAAGGAUGAGCUUUUGUUCUGCAAUGAACAAAUUUUGCACCCGCAUCCACGUUUGUGCUUCACACUGACAAUAUGAACUUUGUUUUGAAAAAGAGAUUGAAAUUCAUUUCCUAGUCCUCAAGCUUAAUCAAGACCCCAUAAAAAGAUGAAUAAAAUGCUGCUCAAACGAUAGAA